UACAGAGGGUGCAAGCGUUGUUCGGAAUUAUUGGGCGUAAAGCGCGUGUAGGCGGCUUUGCAAGUCGGGUGUGAAAGCCCUCAGCUCAACUGAGGAAGUGCGCCCGAAACUGCAGAGCUUGAGUACCGGAGAGGAUGGUGGAAUUCCCAGUGUAGUGGUGAAAUACGUAGAGAUUGGGAAGAACACCAGUGGCGAAGGCGGCUAUCUGGACGGUUUCUGACGCUAAGACGCGAAAGCGUGGGGAGCAAACAGG
rnacentral:rRNA from 1 species